GGACCUAGAUGCUGAUGGUACUCUCCCACA
rnacentral:piRNA from 1 species